rnacentral:rRNA from 1 species
CCUACGGGGGGCAGCAGUAAGGAAUAUUGGACAAUGGCCGCAAGGCUGAUCCAGCCAUGCCGCGUGCAGGAAGAAGGCCCUAUGGGUCGUAAACUGCUUUUGAACGGGAGAAAACCCUUGCUCGUGAGCGAGGCUGAUAGUACCGUUAGAAUAAGCAGCGGCUAACUUCGUGCCAGCAGCCGCGGUAAGACGAAGGAUGCAAGCGUUAUCCGGAUUCAUGGGGGCUAAAGGGAGCUUGUGAGUCAGUGGAGAAAUCUGUGGGCUUAACCCACAAACUGCCAUUGAUACUGCAGGUCUAGAGUACAGUUGCCGUUGGCGGAAUAUGACAUGUAGUGGUGAAAUACUUAGAUAUGUCAUAGAACACCGAUUGCGAAGGCAGCUAACGAAGCUGUAACUGACGCUGAGGCUCGAAAGUGCGGGGAUCAAACAGGAUUAGAUACCCGUGUAGUC